UCUCCGUUGGUGAACCAGCGGAGGGAUCAUUAAAGAGUUACGCAACUCCCUAACCCCAUGUGAACCUUACCUGUUCGUUUUGCUUUCGGCAGGCAGCCCCAGGGCGGGGCUCGCGGCCUGGGUCUAUUCCCAGGUGUCUGCCGCAGGGCUCACUACAAACUCUUACUGUACCAUGCUGUCUGAGUUUUUAAAAAAACAAGUUAAAACUUUCAACAACGGAUCUCUUGGUUCUG
rnacentral:misc_RNA from 1 species